AUAAACACUUGAUUUGAUAGCAUACAUACUUGGAACAAUACAGAAAAGAGUAACAUGGCCCCUGUGCAAGAAUGAAAUGUAAAGUUAUGAAAUCCAUAUCUUU